UGAGAGGGCCUGGAUUAAACUGCC
rnacentral:piRNA from 1 species